rnacentral:lncRNA from 1 species
UACUCUUCUGGACAUUGCCUAGGCAAAUAAUUUAUGAUUAAGUCCCCAAAAUCAAAUGCAACAAAAAGAAAAACUGACAGUUGGGACCUAAUUAAAGAGCUUCAGCACAGCAAAAUAAGCUAUCAACGAAGCAGAUGGACAAACUACAGAAUGGGAGAAAACAUUUGCAAAUUAUGCAUCUGACAAAGGACUAAUAUCCAGAAAAGAACUUAAACAA